CCUACGGGUGGCAGCAGUGGGGAAUAGUGCACAAUGGGGGAAACCCUGAUGCAGCGACGCCGCGUGAGUGAAGAAGGAUUUCGGUACGUAAAGCUCUAUCAGCAGGGAAGAAAAUGACGGUACCUGACUAAGAAGCCCCGGCUAACUACGGGCCAGCAGCCGCGGUAAUACGUAGGGGGCAAGCGUUAUCCGGAUUUACUGGGUGUAAAGGGAGCGUAGACGGCAGCGCAAGUCUGGGGUGAAAUCCCAUGGCUUAACCCUGGAACUGCUUUGGAAACUGUGCAGCUAGAGUGCAGGAGAGGUAAGCGGAAUUCCUAGUGUAGCGGUGAAAUGCGUAGAUAUUAGGAGGAACACCAGUGGCGAAGGCGGCUUACUGGACUGUAACUGACGUUGAGGCUCGAAAGCGUGGGGAGCAAACAGGAUUAGAUACCCGAGUAGUC
rnacentral:rRNA from 1 species